rnacentral:misc_RNA from 1 species
GGCGGGUGCCUUCUGUACAGGUAAAACACUGUUUCUUGUUUGCUGCCUUAUUGGAGCACAGGUUUCAUCUUCAGAGCAAGUGCAUGAACUACCAUCAGCUGCACUAGACNNNNNNAAUAAAAAAUGACCUUGCAUUGCUAGAGAGGUUACUAAGCUGCUUUGCACGUAACAUGAUCUGAACGGGUACCUGAACUGAUGGAUAUGCUUCUGGGCGAGCC